rnacentral:rRNA from 1 species
UACGUAGGGAGCAAGCGUUGUCCGGAAUCAUUGGGCGUAAAGCGCGCGUAGGUGGCCCCUGUAAGUCCGUUGUGAAAGUCAAAGGCUCAACCUUUGAAAGCCGAUGGAUACUGCAGGACUAGAGUACGGAAGAGGCGAGUGGAAUUCCGUGGUGUAGCGGUGGAAUGCGCAGAUAUCAGGGAGGAACCACCAAUAGCGAAGGCAGCUCGCUGGGACGUUACG